rnacentral:rRNA from 1 species
AACGAACGACUGGCGGCGUGGAUUAGGCAUGCAAGUCGAACGAGAAGACUCCCUUCCGGGGAGUGAGUACAGUGGCGAACGGGUGGAGUAACGCGUGGGAAACCUAGCCUCAGAGUGGGGAGUAACAGUUCUAACGGACUGCUAAUACCGCAUGACGCCGUUGAUCGCAUGGUCAACGGUUAAAGAUGGCCUCUACAUGUAAGCUGUCGCUUAGAGAUGGUCCCGCGUCCUAUUAGCUUGUUGGUAGGGUAACGGCCUACCAAGGCGACGAUGGGUAGCCGGCCUGAGAGGGUGGUCGGCCACACUGGGACUGAGAUACGGCCCAGACUCCUACGGGAGGCAGCAGUCGAGAGGCUUCGGCAAUGGGGGAAACCCUGACCGAGCGACGUCGCGUGGGUGAUGAAGAUUCUUGGAUCGUAAAACCCUGUCAGGUGGGAUGAAAUGCGACCUGGCCAAUACCCAGGUUGUUUGACAGUACCACCAGAGGAAGCUCCGGCCAACUCCGUG